CUUCCUAUAAUGCAGAGCAAUGUACCCAAAUUGAAGUAGAGUCACAAAACAUGUCCGACAACAUGGUCGGCAAGAAGUAGGCAAUUUCAAAUGGCAAUUUGAAAACUGAUAUGGGACUAAUUUGGUCUUAGAAGAGUGGGAAUUUGUGUUGUUGAAAAUGUGGGAAUUUUUGUGGUUUCAGUUUGUGAAAUCACAGUGAGAAGCAGGCAGUUUAUGUAAUCUGAAAUGUUUUGUUUAAAAUGAUGGUUGGACUAUUUAAAAUGUGGGAAUUUCUGUUGUUUAUGGCAAUUGAUAUUCACCUUGAGAAGCAGGCAGCGUAAAACGAAUUUAGUUGUGUCAUAAUGGUUGAAGAGUUACAUUCACUUCCAUAGAUUUGAAAAUUGAAAAUGUCCAGCUAUAUAAUGCCAUUUGAUUGCUAAAAUUCCAAAGGAACCGCUAUUGCACUAAAGAAAUCAUUCUUUAUCUCUUCGACUGCUUCAAAGAAAUGGUUGAUACCGCCAAAAGAAACUACGUUCAAUGGCUUCAAUAUCACCACGUAACCCAGGAAAGUGAAAGGAUCCCUGCUCGGAUGACUCGAAUGGGAUCCCUUUAACCACUUGGUCUCUCUUACAUCCUCCUCGAUGUAUUUUUUUUAGACUGUACCAUCUCACUAAGCCCGAGAUGAGAAGAAUAGGAUGUAGAUUAUACGAUAGUUUAUGCAAGGCAACCAUAUAUUUUGACAUAAAUCUAGAUGAUAGACCAAACUAAAUAUAACAAACUUGUCAGGGAUCUCUACAAAAAUAUAAAAGCAAAUGCUGUCCACAAAAACGUAAAGAGAAAAUUAAGUGCUAGUCCAAUCAAAUCUCUUUUUCUUCUUUGUUUAAUGCCAUUGUUUAUCCACAAGAAACCCUCAAUUAUUUUUUGAAAAAGGACGGUAAAAAGCUCAGAAAAUUACAAAAUUUAUAGCAACCCAAGGCAAAAUCAAUAUGCUAUCACAAAAUAAUAAUAAUAAUAAUAAUAAUAAUUAAUUCCAAAUAAUCAAACACUAAACCAUUUCACAUUAAUCGAUAAUUGAAUCAUCGAUGAGAUAUACGCAAAGGAUUCAGCCCACACACACGCAGAUAAGUAGUGAAAUCUACCCAUUUUAUGUCCAGCAAAAAGCAAGGUAUAGAACUUUGAAAAUUCCGAACCAAACAAAAAAAAUGAAGAAAUCCACCAAAACAGAAAUGAAAACCAUUUCAAAACAACGCAUAGUCAAGUUAAAGAUGCCAUCGUACAUUUGUCUCAGUCAACCUGCUCAUCGUCGCUGACUGGCCGUCGAUCAUCAGAGGAUUUUAAUUAGACAGAGUAUUGUGUGACGGUUUCUUGUGCAAACAGAAGGUUUUGAGGAAUCAGAUGAGAUAGGGGCUUUUUGGGGAUUCUAUCAAAAUUUUUAACCCAUUCUUU
rnacentral:lncRNA from 1 species